rnacentral:lncRNA from 1 species
UGCCUUUUUGUGGGGAGCCCUCUGCUCGCGCCACGGCUGCUCCUGGCGUCCCCACUUCUCCCUCCGCUUCUGCUUUCCAUUGGAUGGGCAAUGGGUGCGUGGGCUCCAGCUGCCUCGGCGGCCCAGGCGCUGGCCAGGUGGGACCCUCAGGACACCUGGGCGACCCGCGACGCUGCUCACUAGUCACACCGCCGGAGCCCCGGGGCCCAUGCGACACAGCUGCGCGCUGUGCUGGAGGCCGAAGACCCUGCGAGUUCUGAGCGAGGCCCAUGGAUGUGGAAGGCCCCCCGGGUCCCGGAUCCCAUGUUCUCCCCGCACAGUUAUGACGCCCUGCACGACGGCAGCUCGGGCCCCUCGGGUGCGGACGGCACGGCCAGCGGCCCGCAGGACGCGCGGGCCCCCCGGGGAAGCAGCACCUGCCCGGGGCCCCCUCUGAGGCGGCGCGGCGGCGUGGUGGACCACCGGGAUGUCAUCUUGGCCCACCAGGCGCACAAGGUCCACAGCACCCCGCAGGCCAGGAGGAAGGAAUGGGAUCAAAGUCACAGAGUCCCUGAAUGAAAAACAAGUGAAGUUAGUCUGGUGACUGACAGAAGAGGUGUGUUCAGGGGGAACCCCGAGGUCUCAGGUCUGGGGAGGGUCAAGGCGGGGUUUUCUGGGAGGUGGGGUUAUCGGGAGGCGGGGUUACCGGGAGGCGGGGUUAUCUGGAAGGCGGGGUUUUCGGGGAGGCCGUGAGAAGUUAGAGGCUGGGGUGGCUCGGUUGAGGUUUCAACUCUUG